AUUGAACGCUGGCGGCAUGCCUUACACAUGCAAGUCGAACGGCAGCACGGGAGCAAUUCUGGUGGCGAGUGGCGAACGGGUGAGUAAUAUAUCGGAACGUGCCCAGUCGUGGGGGAUAACGUAGCGAAAGCUACGCUAAUACCGCAUACGAUCUAUGGAUGAAAGCGGGGGAUCGCAAGACCUCGCGCGAUUGGAGCGGCCGAUAUCAGAUUAGGUAGUUGGUGAGGUAAAGGCUCACCAAGCCGACGAUCUGUAGCUGGUCUGAGAGGACGACCAGCCACACUGGGACUGAGACACGGCCCAGACUCCUACGGGAGGCAGCAGUGGGGGAAUUUUUGGGACAAUGGGCGCGAAGCCUGAUCCAGCAAUGCCGCGUGCAGGAUGAAGG
rnacentral:rRNA from 1 species